rnacentral:rRNA from 1 species
UACAGAGGGGGCAAGCGUUGUUCGGAAUUACUGGGCGUAAAGGGCGCGUAGGCGGCCUUCUAAGUCGAACGUGAAAUCCCUGGGCUCAACCCAGGAACUGCGUCCGAUACUGGGAGGCUUGAAUCCGGGAGAGGGAUGUGGAAUUCCAGGUGUAGCGGUGAAAUGCGUAGAUAUCGGGAGGAACACCUGUGGCGAAGGCGGCAUCCUGGACCGACACUGACGCUGAGGCGCGAAAGCUAGGGUAGCAAACGGG